AUCAGCUUUCUAAUAUAACUUUUCAUUUUUAUCCAUUUCGAUUAUUCCCUGUCUUUCUACAACUUCGGACAUUUUCGUUCGUUUUCGGGCAUCAUCGUUUCUCCGUCGAUAAGGAUCGGCUUUACCAUUGAAAAAGUACGCGUGGCGCGUGGACGAUCGUAUAUGUAUAUAAGAUCGAGAUCGCGAGUAUGUCGGCUCUUUUCAUUCAGUGAAUCGCGACGAACCCUGUUGAUGUUACGUAAGGCUUCGUAUUAUAUGAGAGAGACCUUGGUCGUAGAUUACGUCAUCAGUGUAUCGCGAUGCAGCAACUAUUGCCGUCUUCAGGGUGACGCUCGCUGUUAGUCUCGCAAAUUACGUCUCGUACGCAUGUUUGUCUUUUUCUUUUUUCUCGUCAGUUCGUCACUCGCCAUUGCUCCCGCGUCUUGCGAUGGACUCCCUUCUAGAUUAACGUUUCGUUUGUUUCGAGGAAACUCUGUGGAAAAGAAUGCUGGAUCGCGUUUCCCUUUCGUUCGAUAUUUACGAAAUACAAGCCAGUAGAAAUAUAUGUAUCUCGGACGAAAAGGGUCUUGCUACGAGAGAUGGCCGAGACGAUAAAAAGUAAGGAGGAAACGCGCAAAAACUCGGUUAACAUUAACGCGACGGUGCUUCUCGCGCAAGGACGUCGACUGUAUCAUCGCUAAAAGCGUCGCCAACCGGUUCCACAAGAACCGCAGGUUUAUUCGAUUGUUAAUCGCGAACGACGAAGAUAAGAGACUUUCCGCGCAAUAUCCGGUCAUCGAGCGAUCAAUCAUCGACAAGCGCAAUCCUUAUUUGCAUUUCGAUGGAAAGGAACGAUCGCAUUUGUGUUAAAUUGUGCUCUAAAUCGGCUUAGGUCAGCGAUUCUCAAUCUUUUGUACUAAUAAAUGUG